rnacentral:rRNA from 1 species
GAGAAACCCGAAAGGUCGAAAGGAGAAAUUCAUUCGCGUUUCGCUGGUAGGCGUCAAGCGGUGUGUGCGACGAGAUGGUCUUUCGAGACCGUUUUGCGCCCUCUGUUUUUCGAUCUUGCUGCGAACGCGUGCACUUUUCUCCUAGUAGGACGUCGCGAUCCGUUGGGCGUCGGUUUACGAAUGUUGCGAUGGAGCCCGUUUGUAGAGCGUUUCUCGUGAACGUUCCUAUACUUACGAACUCGUACAUUUUAACCGGCUCGCUCGACGGUAUAAUAGAUAACGGUUGAGAGCCGCUUUUAAAGCGUUCGACUCGUUGGCAAGCGCGCUAGUUUGGUUGACCAUCGGACCUGGUGCCGAUUUCAAUCCCUAGCGACUGUUGGCUACGAUGUUCUCGAACAGACUCCCUCCAAACCGAUCUGCGACGCUAUAGCUUUGGGUAAUUUCAGGACCCGUCUUGAAACACGGACCAAGGAGUCUAGCAUGUACGCGAGUCAUUGGGAAUCAUUAAACCUAAAGGCGYAAUGAAAGUGAAGAUCUUUCUUUACGGAAGAUCGAGGGAAGACGAUAAGUUCUACGGAAUUUUUCCGCAUUCCCGGAGCGUCUCAUUCUCAUUGCGAGAGGAGGCGCACCAAGAGCGUACACGCUGGGACCCGAAAGAUGGUGAACUAUGCCUG